AACGCACCUUGCGCCCUUUGGUAUUCCGAAGGGCAUGCCUGUUUGAGUGUCUCGAUAUCAUCAAUCCGUCCGGGUUUGCGCCCGGUUCGGCUUGGACUUGGGGGCCUUGCUGCCGAGAGGCGGCUCCCCUUAAAAGCAUCGGUCUGGCCCGAUCAGCGUUGGCCCGCUCCCGUGGCGUUGUAUCAACCUCGCCUCUGCGGUUCGGAUACGCCCUCGCCGCGCCGACCUCGACCUGCCCGUGGGGUGGCGGUCUGCUCUUGACAAUCUGACCUCAAAUCAGGUAGGACUACCCGCUGAACUUAA
rnacentral:misc_RNA from 1 species